CAAGCUGCUGUUACUCAGAAAUAAGGAAAGAUUUUUGACACGGAGACUGUCCACGUCUUGACUGCCUGCAGGAAUACCAUCUUCGAGGUCAUUCCAUUUUUUAAGCCAUUCUUAACGAUUAUUUUGUCUCUGCAUUUUCUGGGGCCGGCUCAGUGGAAGAUGUGUGGCCCUGAUCCUGCGAAACCAAUCUGGGAUAAUCAGGUAUUUCUUCUCCACGUCUUUGCUGUGCUCUGGCUCCCCCCAGCACCUCCCUCACCUUGCAAACCUGGCAGGCUCUGGACAUUUUGCAUGCUGAAGAAAAUCACUGUUUUGCCUCCAGCAAGGAACAUAAAUGUUGCAACACUGACUCCUCCUCUAAUGAAGAAAGGGGGAACAAGUGCACCGAGUUGAGCUGCUUCUCACGGAGCCACCGGGCUGGGGACGGUGGCUCCCAGGCUGGGAUCCUGCGCCUCGCGUCUUCUGGGCUUCCCCCACCCCGCCCCCGCCCCCUCCUUUUUCCGUCUUAUUGGAUCCUCUCCCUGUCUCUGGAUUUUACCGGCUGUUCGAGAAAGGGCUUUACACACAAUGGAUCUCCACGUCCUUUUGCAAGAAGUGCUCACGGACUGAUAUGGCAGACUUUGCUCCCAGGCAAAAAUCACAUGACCCCAGAAAAUCAUCCAAACCAUAUUUGUGCUGUCAUUCUCCUCUUUGGGAACCAUAGCAUAAUAUUAAGUUUUCUACUUAUCUAAACCAACUCCAAACUCAGAAUGCCCUGCAUAGCCUCAUGACGAAAAUUUCUGGAAGUGCAAUUUGGAGAUCAGUUUGCCAGAAGCUUGAUGAGUAUGAGACUGAAAGAUAAAGGUUAAGCUUCUCUGCCACCCAUGCAUUGAAUUUCCCAAUUGCUAUGUUGAUGUGUAGCAACACUUGCUUUCCUCUCUCAGCCAUUUCAAAGCCAAUCAAUUCCAUUCUUGUUCACACCCUUAUUAAAAAUGUAAUUACAGCAGUA